UACGUAGGGAGCAAGCGUUGUCCGGAAUCAUUGGGCGUAAAGAGCGUGUAGGCGGCCAGGUAGGUCUGCUGUGAAAACUCGAGGCUUAACCUCGAGCUGUCGGCGGAAACCAUCUAGCUAGAGUCCGGAAGAGGAGAACGGAAUUCCCAGUGUAGCGGUGAAAUGCGCAGAUAUUGGGAAGAACACCAGUGGCGAAGGCG
rnacentral:rRNA from 1 species